UACGAAGGGGGCUAGCGUUGUUCGGAAUUACUGGGCGUAAAGCGCGCGCAGGCGGUCUUCCAAGUCAGUGGUGAAAGCCCGGAGCUCAACUCCGGAAUUGCCAUUGAAACUGUGAGACUGGAGUACGAGAGAGGUGAGUGGAAUUCCCAGUGUAGAGGUGAAAUUCGUAGAUAUUGGGAAGAACACCGGUGGCGAAGGCGGCUCACUGGCUCAUAUCUGACGCUCAGGCGCGACAGCGUGGGGAUCAAACAGG
rnacentral:rRNA from 1 species